CCUACGGGAUGCAGCAGUCGAGAAUCAUUCACAAUGGGGGAAACCCUGAUGGUGCGACGCCGCGUGGGGGAAUGAAGGUCUUCGGAUUGUAAACCCCUGUCAUGUGGGAGCAAAUUAAAAAGAUAGUACCACAAGAGGAAGAGACGGCUAACUCUGUGCCAGCAGCCGCGGUAAUACAGAGGUCUCAAGCGUUGUUCGGAAUCACUGGGCGUAAAGCGUGCGUAGGCGGUUUAGUAAGUCGGAUGCGAAAGUCGCGGGCACAAACCGAGUACGGCACAGGAAACUGGGAGACUAGAGUAAUGGAGGGGGAACCGGAAUUCUCGGUGUAGCAGGGAAAUGCGUAGAUAUCGGGAGGAACACUCGUGGCGAAGGCGGGUUCCUGGACAUUAACUGACGCUGAGGCACGAAGGCCAGGGGAGCGAAAGGGAUUAGAUACCCCGGUAGUC
rnacentral:rRNA from 1 species